rnacentral:lncRNA from 1 species
UGGAUUGUGCAGGCAGAUACUGUCUGCAGCACCCCAGGGAGAGGACCGCCUUCGCCUGUGCUCGGGCCAGCUUUGCGUUUAAGGAGGCUACAAGUGGCCAUCACUUCUACCAGGGCCGCAGCCUCUAGCUGGGGAGUGUAGAGGAGCUAUGCCCCGCUGGCGUCCCCUGCCUGUACCUCACCUGCUGCAAGGGCCAGAC